rnacentral:sRNA from 1 species
AGAGAGACAAAUAAAAUA